CAUUUUUAUUAUUCAGGCCUCUGCCCGUACAUUUAUGAUUGUUAAGCUAAACUUUCUUCUAUGACUUUUCCCUUCGUUUCGUAUCCAACCCAUCAGAACCUGGGAUUGGUGAUUGUGUCUAUUUAUUCCAAAGUCAUAGCAACAUCUCAUGAGCACAA